UAUAUGUUAACAGAUAUAUAAAAAUAUAAAUAUAAAUAUAUAACUAAAUAAUCCGGUAAUAAACAAAUGAUACGAGGGCAGAAAAGUAAUUUGACCCUAACCCUAGGAAGCCCUAUAAAAGCAUCUCUAAACCAAACCCUACAUUUUGGCCGCCCCCCCUUUCUUCUUCCGUCGCCUCUCUCUCUCUCUCUCUCUCUCUCUCUCUCUCUCUCUCUCUCUCUCUCUCUCUCUCUCUCUCUCUCUCUCUCUCUCAGUCCUCUAAACCUAACCCUAGAUUUUGGCCGCCCCUCCUUUCUUCUUCCGUCGCCUCUCUCCCUCCCUCUCUCUCUGUCCGGUCCUUCUGGUUUCAUCUUCCGUUGUCUCUUUCUCUCACAGCUUUCAUCUUCUUGUUUGAUUUAUGUUUAUAUUUUGUUCUUCUUUUAAUGUUUUACAGUUUUGUAUUCCGUUUAUUUCGAAUGUUUAUAUAUUUUUUUUUGUGCGUUUACAUCCAGAUUGUUCUUUAGAAUAUAUUUGUUAUUUGGUAUAUUUUUUGUUGUUUUUUCAUACUUUCAGAUGAACAUUGUUUUUUACGGUCUUUCAUUUUUUUUUGUUUUUGCUUUUAGAUCUCAAGAUAUUUAUUUUUGUUUCAUUUUUUUUGUUGUGUUUUGUUCUUUUAAUAUUUUGCAGCUUCGUUCGCAGCACUCGUUUUUCUCCGGUCCUUCUCGUUUCAUCUUCCGUUGCCUCUCUCUCUCUCACAGCUUUCAUGUUCUUGUUUGAUUUAUGUUUGUAUUUUGUUUUUCUUUUAAUGUUUUACAGUUUUGUAUUCCGUUUAUUUCAGUUGUUUUUGUUUUUUUUUUCUAUGUUUUUUUCCUCUUAGAUCUGAACAGAUUUGUUUUUGUUUUAUUUUCUUUCUCCUCUUUUGUUAUUUUCCAGCUUCGUUCGCAGCACUCAUCUUUACAGUAUAAAUUAAAUUUUUUUAUUUUUAACAUUUAGAUCUGUACAAUAGAUUUGUUCAUGUUUUUACGGUUUUUCAAUUUUUUUUCUUUUUCCUCUUAGAUCUGAACGGUCUUUUUCCUCUCUCUCUCUCUCUCUCUCUCUCUCUCUCUCUCUCUCCGGUCCUUCUCGUUUCAUCUUCCGUUGCCUCUCUCUCUCACAGCUUUCAUCUUGUUGUUUGAUUUAUGUUUGUAUUUUGUUCUUCUUUUAAUGUUUUACAGUUUUGUAUUCCGUUCAUUUCAGUUGUUUUUGUUUUUUUUUUCUAUGUUUUUUUCCUCUUAGAUCUGAACAGAUUUGUUUUUGUUUUAUUUUCUUUCUCAGGGUCGUGACUAUGGCCGCGCGCAGCAGGCCACGACCACCGCAGCGCUGCAAAUGGCUACUGGUGGGAGCGCACGGCCACGCCGGAAGCACACAACAACAAACCAGAAGAUGAAAUUUCAGAAAAUCGAAAUUGUAUAUCAAUCAUUAAAUUUUUUUGUUCGGUGUACUCUCUGUAAAUAAAGAUGUAAAUAUGCAAACACA